rfam:Dipodomys ordii contig_18117, whole genome shotgun sequence.
GGGAACGUGGCUAAAUGAUAGAGUGCUUGCCUGGCAUGCAUGAAGCCCUAGGUUCGAUUCCUCAAUACCA